rnacentral:lncRNA from 1 species
AGAUCUGGAACCAAGGGGGAAGAAAAAAAGAAAGGCUUCGGGCAGUAGGGAGAAAAGGAAAAGAGGAAAACAAAGCAAGGAAAGAAGAAAAGGGCGGCGAACGGAGGAGAGAAAGCUACGGAAAAAGAGGGGGGACCUGGAAAAAUUGGGAGGAGCUUCGGGGAAGAAAAACUGAGCGAGAGAGAAAAGAGAAAGAAACUGGGAAAAGGAAAAAUAGCAAAAUGAGGGUUUCACUCUGUUGAGUUUAUUAAAAAGUUGGAAGUGAUGGUGAUGGCUCCCUCUUCCGCUCCUCGUUGCCGCUCUUCUACUUCUACUGCUCCCAGUAUUGUCAUCCUCACAAAACCCUCAAUUCUGUCCAAACCCCUCUUCUCAAAGCCAGAUGGUACCCCUUUUCCCUGUCUUUGUCGUUUCCCAAUUCCUUCUCAUCUACUACUACUUCGUCCUGUUGCAGCUGCUGGGCCUGCCUUGUAUCUGCUAUGGCAAUGGGCGCUGGUGGUACUAGUAGUAGUGCUAAAAAAGAGCAGCAGCAGCAGAAGAAAGUGAAAGCAGAGGAGGAGGAGGAGG